rnacentral:rRNA from 1 species
GAUGAACGCUGGCGGCGUGCCUAAUACAUGCAAGUCGAGCGAACAGACGAGGAGCUUGCUCCUUUGACGUUAGCGGCGGACGGGUGAGUAACACGUAGGUAACCUACCUAUAAGACUGGGAUAACUUCGGGAAACCGGAGCUAAUACCGGAUAAUAUUUCGAACCGCAUGGUUCGAUAGUGAAAGAUGGCUUUGCUAUCACUUAUAGAUGGACCUGCGCCGUAUUAGCUAGUUGGUAAGGUAACGGCUUACCAAGGCAACGAUACGUAGCCGACCUGAGAGGGUGAUCGGCCACACUGGAACUGAGACACGGUCCAGACUCCUACGGGAGGCAGCAGUAGGGAAUCUUCCGCAAAGGGCGAAAGCCUGACGGAGCAACGCCGCGUGAGUGAUGAAGGUCUUCUGAUCGUAAAACUCUGUUAUUAGGGAAGAACAAACGUGUAAGUAACUGUGCACGUCUUGACGGUACCUAAUCAGGAAGCCACGGCUAACUACGUG